UUAUGGCUCAGGACGAACGCUGGCGGCGUGCCUAACACAUGCAAGUCGAGCGAGGAGAUCCUCGGGAUGAUCCUAGCGGCGGACGGGUGAGUAACACGUGGGCAACCUGCCUCAUAGAGAGGAAUAGCCUUCCGAAAGGGAGAUUAAUACCUCAUAACAUUGCAGUUUCGCAUGAAACAGCAAUUAAAGGAGCAAUCCGCUAUGAGAUGGGCCCGCGGCGCAUUAGCUAGUUGGUGAGGUAACGGCUCACCAAGGCGACGAUGCGUAGCCGACCUGAGAGGGUGAUCGGCCACAUUGGGACUGAGACACGGCCCAGACUCCUACGGGAGGCAGCAGUGGGGAAUAUUGCACAAUGGGGGAAACCCUGAUGCAAGCAACGCCGCGUGAGUGAUGACGGCCUUCGGGUUGUAAAGCUCUGUCUUCAGGGACGAUAAUGACGGUACCUGAGGAGGAAGCCACGGCUAACUACGUGCCAGCCGCAGC
rnacentral:rRNA from 1 species